rnacentral:rRNA from 1 species
UGCCCAAGAGAUCGGGAUAACACCUGGAAACAGAUGCUAAUACCGGAUAACAACAGAUGAUGCCUAUCAACUGUUUAAAAGAUGGUUCUGCUAUCACUCUUGGAUGGACCUGCGGUGCAUUAGCUAGUUGGUAGGGUAACGGCCUACCAAGGCGAUGAUGCAUAGCCGAGUUGAGAGACUGAUGGCCACAUUGGGACUGAGACACGGCCCAAACUCCUACGGGAGGCAGCAGCU